rnacentral:lncRNA from 10 species
GCGAGGCGGGUGGCGCGCGGCAGCAGGGUUGGGCUCUCGCCGUGAGUCGACGAAGGGAGCGCGGGCGCGCGCCCGCGUCCGCGCACUGAGAGUCGCCUCGGCCGCUCGCUUUCUCGACUCCCGCCUCGCGCCUCGAUCCUGUUCCGCCUCCCUCGGCCCUCCUGCCCGCCCCCACUCGUCGGCCCUCAGCUCAGAGACCUAAUAGGAUGGGGUCUUAGAGAAACAUCUUUUGAGCCACAGACUUCUUUGUUACCAGAAGGAAAAUGAAAGAAGAAAUUUAAAUACCACUUGAAGAGAGUUUCCUCAUCAGCAAAGUCAGAAAAAGUAUGUACCUGAAGGACUGAUUGUAAGGCUGGGAUGAGAGAAUCCAUGUGAUCAGCCCUCACCAACAGGUGCUGCCCAGUUCAUGAGUGCUGCUGCUGUCCUGCCCAAGUACCCAGCUUGCAGAGUGCCAGAGUUAGAGUCCCAGGGGUGUUCUCCACAGCUGCAUGCUUGAUCCAGGCCUAUCAGGUGUUAUUUGUUGACGGAACCAGGCAUCAUCAGCAAACAAAACUGACAAAGCUUCCUGCCCUCUGUGGAAGGCAUCUGAGGAAGAGACUGGAUUUUGUAGCAACAUGUUAUUCUCAUUAUAAACUUUAUCAUUGGAAUACUAAAGCCAAAUCAUCCCCCAUCUCCUUGAUCAGGAUACCCACUUAAUCUAGGCAGCUACACAAUUGUGAGAGCCUUUGUUUUUUUCUGCUGAAACAUCCUUAAAAAGAUACCUCACAACCCAAGAUUUGGCUUUUCUUAAAUACGAUUUUUAAUUUUUUUCAUUUCUAUCUAGAGAUUUAAUUGGAAAUGGAAAAUCAUCAAUUUUCCAAUUAAAUGUCUGUUCCAAUCAACAUUAUACCUUUUAGGUUGUCAUUGUCAUUUUUAAGUUUAAGCAACUUUAAGGAUUUUGAAUCUGGCUGCCUGUAAAUUAAAGGUGAAAGUAAUCAUUGUGUUGGAUUGGAACAUUUUGUCAAUUGAGAGUGGUUUCCUUGUUCUUAGUGUAUGAAAAGUUUAUUUUUCUAAUGUAGAUUAAUAAAGGAGAUAAAGAAAAACAAAAUGAGUGAUUUAUGUGUGUGAGAAAAGAACCAUUUCCUCAAGGAUUAAAUAAAAUUCAUACCUUUUGUUUCUUUUGAAAAGUUUUUAAAAUAAAUUUUAAUGAAUGUGUCCUUUAAAUAUUCCUUUAAAAAUGUAUCCUAUUUUAAAAUGGACUCUCUGAGAGAAGGAAUUGAUACCUGUGUUUAAAAUCAAAAAUAGCAUGCAUAGAGACUGUUUUUCUAGUUGGUUGAAGCUUUUUUCCCUCUCCUUUACAUCAGUGAACCAGCAUCUUGCCCUUCAGACCCUACAGCACACUCUUGGGCUCAUGAAGUGUAUGACACAUCCUCCUUGGGGGAUCGGCCAUGUCCUCGCUCUCAUGACCACAUGAAUUCUUCUGUAUGUCUUUUCUCACAGCUGAGUACUCUCUUCCUGACCCCCUUGUGGAAUGGGGAAAGGAGGCUGUGACAUUGUGCUUGUGCAAACAAUAAUUGAGAGCUUUCCGAGUCUCCUGCAUCUUCAUAAAUGAUUUUUUGUUUUAUGCUGGGACAGUAGUUCUUUAAAUAGAAUAUUCUCCCAUGGAAAUCGCCCACAAUGCUGAGAGUACACCUUGCAAAAGGUAAGUCUAGAAUAUAGGGUGCCUCCUCAGCAUUGCCCAGAAGCUGAAGUUAGGACUCUCUAGAAUACCAAAAACAAAUUUAUAGCAGUUCAUUAAUGUAAGGAAUUAUGAAAACUGUGUGCCACCAUUAUCCAUAGAUGAAACAAGAGCCACCACGCAAGCACAGACACAAAGCCCUGAAGAUGAAGCCAUUGACAGGGCUCUCAUUUAUUCUGUAGAAACCCACUUGCCUGUUUUUGAACCAGUUUUCUUUGGAGCAUAUGUCUCACUGUGCAACCAAAGUGGUGUUUAUAUCCUAGUCACUUGGCAAAAAUUCUGUCAUUGCUUCAGGGAGAUCCAUUUUAGGCCUGAAGCAUGGAGCUGGUAAUAGAUGGGAUUUGGUACUUCUGAAGAAAAGACCCUACUGCAAAUUUAGAGAGUUAAUUUUUUCUUUUGUUCCCCAUAAUAUUGUUGCUAGAUAGAACUACCUUUUUUGACUAGAAGUUAAAUAUAGAGGCCUAAAUCAAUUAGGUAACUCCCACUCAUUCUAAAUGAGAACAUGUUUGUUUUUCUCCAACGAGAUGAGAAAUAUUUGAGGCGCUUCCUGAUAUCUCUAUCACCCACUGCAUUUUUUCACUUGAUGUAUAUUUCCCCAUGUAUUUGGGAUAAUUUUCAAAUAAUUGCCCUUUAGAAAUCUACUUGAUAUUAAAUGUAAAAAAAAAGCAAGAUGCAAAAUUAUUAUAGGAUGCAUUUACAGAAAUUACAAAAUUUCUAUAAACUAUUUAUGGAGGAAGACUUAUAGAGUAUAUGUCAACACAUUGCUUUAUUAUUGUCCUUGGUUAUGAGUAUGGUUUUUUUGAAACCUGCUUUGUACUUUGGGUGUUUUCUCACCAUUGGUACAAUUGAGGCAUUUUUCCCUCUUCUUCAACCUUGCAAAUCACACGUGAGGAUGCUCAUAGAAGUGCCUCUCAGACAGGCUGUUGUUUUGCUUUCACCAAUAAAUCAUUUAUAAUUAGAAGUAGAAAACUAUUCUUUCCAGUGCAAAUACAUCCCUUUCAAAAGCAGUUCUCUUUUUGUGAAUGAUGUCUAGUGUCUAAGAAACGAGGGUAACCUUUAUUAUAUGCAUUGCUCUAAUCGAAGCAUUGUUUUUUGCGGUGAACUCAAGGUUACAUGUUUAAGAAAAGCAUCGGGUUAAUUCCAUUAGGAAAAGUGUCUUAUUCAUAAACCUUUAGCCACUGGAAAAACACCAUUAGGAGGCCACACAAGUGUGUAUAGCUGGAUAGAAUUUGACAACUGGCAAAACAAAACAAUAGCCUACAAUUGCAGAGUGCUGUCUGUUUAAAAACCAACAUAUCUUUCACCAACAAAUACAUAUUCACCUCAACACGAGACUUUCAUGUGGUUAUUAAUAUCAAAUUUUUGAAUGUCCAAAUUUUGGAGUGUAGUCUAGCAGAGGUAAACUGAUUUGCCUAAGGUCCUUCAACUGUCAGAGGUAGAAUUAUUUUCUCUCUCCUGGCUCUAAAACCUGUCCAGAUUCUCCUGCAACACUGUCCUUCAAAAACACACUUCCGCUGACUCCAGUGCUGGUGAUGUCAUGCUUUAGCUAGUAGUUAGAGGUGACUUAACUUUAAAUAUGGAAUCUUUUUUUCCUAUUAAGCAAUGAGGUUUAGUUUGAAAAUUCUUAGAGAUGAUAAACCCCUCUCCUUUUUUUCUUCCUUCUCCUCUUUUGUCCUGAACAAUGUUCCAUAUAUAUUACUGCCAGAAACAGAUUCUUGACAUUCCUGUUAUGCUUUUCCACAUCUUGUAAUCAUUUCUACAGCUGUUAGCAUUGCCAACAAUUAUAUUUCCACUUUUAAAAAAUUGUUACAAAGAUGCAGAGAGAAAAGAGGAAAGCCAAGGAAUAAACUACAGGCAAUUAUGGGAUAUUUUUGUGAUGUGACAUUUUGGGAACUGAGGCAGCAUCACUGAUACUGCACUACUUUUUAAUAUCUAGAUUUUAAUCUUUUGUAUGAAGAUAAAAUUCACAUGCCUUAAACCUGACCACAACAUAAUAGGGCAUUUAUUUUUCUAAUUUUGAUACCAUCCACAUUUCUUAACUAUAAGAAGAAUGCUUAUGUUGUACCAGGUUAUAUGAUGUUGCCAAGAAGUAGAUGUGUACCAUUUACUAAUACAUCCUUUUGGAAAAUGCGUAUUAAUAACAUAUUAAGGAGUAAAUUGACGUUGUGCAAAGUGAGCCUGUGAGUUUAAAUGUAUGGAUUGUACACCUUGCUCUUCCUAAUUGCAGAUUUAACAGGAUUUGAUGACCUAAUGAGUUUAUUUCUGAAUGAUUUAUAUUUCUUUGUCAGUUCAAUGAUUUAGUAUUUUAAAUUUUUUUAAAUCACAUUUUAUUGAGAUAAUGCUAUUAGUGUUUCUUUCCCAUCACUUAACAAAGUUAAGUCACUCCUCUCCCACCCCACUUUUGUACCUACCAAUGUUUUUUUCACAGUUACAGGCUGAUUGGCUUGACGUGUCUUAGGAUACCACCCAAAGAGAGCUUCAUUUUAUAAAUACCAAGCUCAUUUUCCUAAAUAUUUUCAAAAAGAUAGAUUUAUCCUCAUAUAGUAAAUUCAGAUUAAUAAUUUUGGAAAGGGUCAUGUGACCAUGGUAUUACAUGGCUGUGGAAGACCCUCCAAGAUCUUGUUUUGGGAUAGAAGGACUCAGACAUCCAAACUUUUAAAUUAAUGAACUUAUUAAAUUCUAAAACUUUGUAACAGUGUUAAUUUGAGAAGUAUAAUAUUUUGCUUAAGGUCUGUUUUGCUUUGCAAAAUGCAUCUCCUUCAUUUUCAUAUUAUGUUGGAAGCUUAGCAUGAAAGAACGUGCCUCAGAGGAAACCAUAGGUAAGCAUACUUUAACAAAAGUUAGUGUCAUCAUGUUUGUGUCUUUGCCUGUGGUUUUUUAAAUGUAUAAUGUUUAACGUUGAUUUGGCUAUCAAAUUACAUUUUCUUUUGUUAAAAAAUUCUGUAAAUUAGAAAUGUACUGAAUCAUUUAUUUAGCAGACUGAAGGUGGGUAAUGUUGGCUGAACAGGUUUAAGCCACAGUAAUUUGAAAAUGUAAAUACAUAAAAUAAUGUCAUUUCUCUUCCACUCAAUGUUUCUUCACCAAAUAAAGUCCAGCCUGCUCUGAAUUUGUUGCCAGUAGGAACAAUGUUACAGUGAAUCAUGGUUUAAUAUACCUUGAAAAUGGCACAUCUGUUCUGUGAUAGCUUACCAAUUUUAGCCUCUUUAUAAAAUACGAAGAGUUUGUCAACCAGAAUAAUCUAGAACCUGGCAAUUCAAAUACCAUUCAAAGCAAAUGUUUUAUCUAAUAACUGGAACUAAAUGUUAGGCCUCAUGACAGUUCAAUAUUUACUAAAUAAGUUUAAUAACAGGGUAAGCCCUCAGUAUCCAGAGCAGAGACAAGCACACCAUAUUUACACAUACAAAUUCUGCCUUUAGCCAUCUGAAAGGGCCCCGAACUAUUGCAGCAAGCAAAGAGUCUUUGCAUUGUCCUAAAAUCCAUACAAUACUUUAUAUUUUACACAUUUUAAUAGCUAGUUUAACAAAUAACAAGUACCAUGCUUAAUUCUCUGCAUGCAUUAUUUCAACUAAUUAUUGGAAUAAUCUUAUAAAGUGGGUACUUUCGUCUCAGCUUACAGGUGAGAAAACAAAAGUUAAAUAGAUCGCCCAGGGCUCUGCUGGAACGUGUUAAGCAGGGAUUUCAGCCUGUCCAGUCAGACCCCAGAAGUUGUGUUCUUAACCAUUAGCAACACAUCAUCCCAGGCAGGCCCUACAUGAGCCUCAUAACCAAUUUUAUGCUGGAUAGUAUUAUCCCUAUUUCACAGAUGGCAAAACUGAGGUCCAGAGACUUUAAGUGACCUACCCAAAAUUACAGUCAUGAGCAGAGGCACUGGAAUGUAGGGCCUUGACACUCUACCUCACGUGGUCCUCUUUCCUGUUUUGGGUAGUUCUCCACUACCACUACUCAUUUCUGAUGCUGGAAAGGCUGUGUUUUAUACAUUUCUGUUUCUGGCUUGGAACGAAACACUCUGGGUCUCUGCUUGAUCAGUGUCCCCUCUAAACUGCACCUCACUACAGUAGGGAUGGCAUAAGAUACUUCUUUACACAGCAUCUUUUUGUUCCCACCUCACCCCCAGAGCUGUAAUAGGUAGAGCCAGCCAAAUGUCAAAGGGAUGAUUUGUCUUGUCACCACUAGUUUCCCUUUUCUCUGCCUUGUAUGUAACAGGAAUAUUCUUUAGUUCCUCCUUAUGUUCUAAAGCACCUCCCCAACCUAAAAAUAGAAGAGGAGUUGUGGGUCAUUUACACUUUAGUGUGAAUUUGCCCUUGUGACUUUGCCAAGGCUGUUGUGCCUAACCCUUUCAAUCUAACAGCAGAAUGAGAGUCUCUGGACUAUCCUGGCUCCUUCCCUGAGAAGAAUGAACUGGGAAUUGUUGGUCUAGACAUCAAGACUACCAGAGACCUAUUGCUCAGAGAUGUUUGGGCUGUACAAUUUCUGUAGAUAUGGCAUCUGGAGCAGCCUUUUCUAAGCAAUGGCAUUAUCAUUCCAGGCUCUCUCGCUCUUUCCAUCUCUCCACCAGGUGGACUCUUGCCCUCCACCCCUUCCAAUUUGUCAGUGAUUCAGAGAACAUUCUCCAUCCUUCCAAUGAUUACAUUCCUUCAUCUUGCUGGGGCGCCAAUUCAGUGAUGGAGCGGCUCUUGGGAGCAGCCUUGGCUUAUAGUGCAGCUCUCUGCUACCUUCAACAGGCUGGUAUUCGGGGUGCUUAGAUGUGACUGGUUGUACGCACGUGUGUGUAUGUGCAUGUGUGUACAGCAGUAAGAGCUUUCGAGGUAGAUACUUGAGGAAGCCUCAGACAUCUAGCCCCAUUACUGGGGCAAUGUCUUACUUGGGUUUUUCCAGAAACAGACCUGGAGACCAGGAUUCAAGUGCCAGUGGUAUAUUUGGGAUGUGAACCCUGCAAUGCUGGUAGGAGAGUGGAGAAGUGAGGCAAGGAAAGGAAGGCCGUCAAGGGGCGUGUUAGGAGGUCAUUCACCACCGCAGGUAGCCCGCUGGGGACCUCUGGGAGCAAGUGUGGCGCACAAGCCUCAGCAUUACUGCCCUGUGCCUUGAGGAGUAAGGGAUAAGGAUUUUCCCCACCAGUUCCCUGUAGUCCUUGGUGAGAGCUUCUGGGGUGGAGGUUAAGGUCUUUAGGUCAGAGAAAUUUUCUUUAGUUUCGGAAAAAUCUUUCAGGCCGAGGUCCAGACACUCACUGGAACACACUGAAGUGGUUAGGUCCAAGGGCUGUAGGCAGAGCUCCCAUAUCCAUCUGCAGAGGUGUUUCAGGUGGAAGGAGUGGAGACAGCCUUCUCUGCUCCACACUGUCUUCAGCAAGGGUUUCUGUAUCUGUGCAUUGAGGAUUAAAUUAUUCACAUGGUCAGAGAAGCCCAUCACCACUGAUAGUUAUUGUAGGUAUGGAAAACUAACGACUAAGAAGGGAGAAAAAUAUACCAAGCAGUUGGCUUGGCUGAACACAAGUAAAGACUCUUACAGUCACUGGUGUGAACUGCUUAUUAUCAAUGUCUGAUUACAGUGCUGCAUACUAAUGAUUAUGCAUGUCAUUAAAUGUGUCAGAUUAACUUUGUUAUAAAAUUUAUGACAACAUUAAAUUUUAUUCACAUGCUCAGCCUUCAUAAUUUAUUGCUUAUGUAGCAUGGUUUUAACUUCAGAAAAACCUCCAAGACAGUGUUGUCUUGAUGACUACACUGCUUAUCCGUGAGUCUAGUUUUCCUGUUCAUUUGAAAUGUUCACAUUACAUUCAGCUCUGUCUCAAGCACUGAGACAGAGCUGGAAUCAGUGCCCAGCGAUUCCACUUGCCGAGUGAUUGA